CAAAAUUUUUAUAUGAAUUAAUGUGGCUUCAAUGAAAAAGUGGAAAAUUACCAAAUUGGGGUACUUUUCAAGCGAGAUGACUAUUGAGUUCCAUCAAGUUUCAGCCAAUAAGUUCAAGUCUUCAUAGAUUUUUGAUAUUUUACAGCUUUACUAUUUUACUAAAAUAUGAAUCUAUUUUUAUAACCAAUUAUAAUCACCUUACAUAUUAGUAAAUGUUUUGGUAAGGUGAAUUUUAAUUUUAAACUU
rnacentral:lncRNA from 1 species